rnacentral:rRNA from 1 species
AUGGGGGGAACCCUGAUCCAGCAAUGCUCGCGUGUGUGAAGAAGGCCUUCGGGUUGUAAAGCACUUUCAGUAGGGAGGAAAGGUGCGUAGUUAAUACCUGCGCAAUUGACGUUACCUACAGAAGAAGCACCGGCUAACUCCGUGCCAGCAGCCGCGGUAAUACGGAGGGUGCGAGCGUUAUUCGGAAUUACUGGGCGUAAAGCGCACGCAGGCGGUUGCCCAAGUCAGAUGUGAAAGCCCCGGGCUUAACCUGGGAACUGCAUUUGAAACUGGGCGACUAGAGUAUGAAAGAGGAAAGCGGAAUUUCCAGUGUAGCAGUGAAAUGCGUAGAUAUUGGAAGGAACACCGAUGGCGAAGGCAGCUUUCUGGGUCGAUACUGACGCUCAUGUGCGAAAGCGUGGGGAGCAAACAGGAUUAGAUACCCUGGUAGUCCACGCCCUAAACGAUGUCAACUAGGCGUCGGGUUGUUAAAGACUCGGUGCCGAGCAACGCAUAAGUUGACCGCCUGGGAGUACGGCCGC